rnacentral:rRNA from 1 species
UACGAAGGGUGCAAGCGGUAAUCGGAAUUACUGGGCGUAAAGCGCGCGUAGGUGGUUCGUUAAGUUGGAUGUGAAAGCCCCGGGCUCAACCUGGGAACUGAAUCCAAAACUGGCGAGCGAGAGUAUGGCAGAGGGUGGUGGAAUUUCCUGUGGAGAGGUGAAAUGCGUAGAUAUAGGAAGGAACACCAGUGGCGAAGGCGAACACCUGGGCUAAUACUGACACUGAGGUGCGAAAGAGUGGGGAGCCAACAGGAUUAGAUACCCGCGUAGUCC